GUACUGAUGAUGAGUCCCAGACUAGGACGAAACAGCUGCCCAGUAC
rnacentral:hammerhead_ribozyme from 1 species